GAUGAACGCUGGCGGCGUGCCUAAUACAUGCAAGUCGAGCGAACAGACGAGGAGCUUGCUCCUCUGACGUUAGCGGCGGACGGGUGAGUAACACGUGGAUAACCUACCUAUAAGACUGGGAUAACUUCGGGAAACCGGAGCUAAUACCGGAUAAUAUAUUGAACCGCAUGGUACAAUAGUGAAAGACGGUUUUGCUGUCACUUAUAGAUGGAUCCGCGCCGCAUUAGCUAGUUGGUAAGGUAACGGCUUACCAAGGCAACGAUGCGUAGCCGACCUGAGAGGGUGAUCGGCCACACUGGAACUGAGACACGGUCCAGACUCCUACGGGAGGCAGCAGUAGGGAAUCUUCCGCAAUGGGCGAAAGCCUGACGGAGCAACGCCGCGUGAGUGAUGAAGGUCUUCGGAUCGUAAAACUCUGUUAUUAGGGAAGAACAAAUGUGUAAGUAACUAUGCACGUCUUGACGGUACCUAAUCAGAAAGCCACGGCUAACUACGU
rnacentral:rRNA from 1 species